UACGUAGGGGGUGAGCGUUGUCCGGAGUUACUGGGCGUAAAGCGCUUGUAGGCGGUCCACCAAGUUUGGGGUGACAGUUGCCGACUUAAUCGGCAAAGUGCCUCAAAGACUGGCGGACUUGAGGGCCACAGAGGGACAUGGAACUCCAGGUGUAGUGGUGAAAUGCGUAGAUAUCUGGAGGAACACCGGUGGCGAAGGCGGGUCUCUGGGCCAUCACUGACGCUGAGGAGCGAAAGCGUGGGAAGCGAACAGG
rnacentral:rRNA from 1 species